rnacentral:misc_RNA from 1 species
AGGAUCCUCCAGCGACAGGCUGGCCUCGGCGAAAAGGCCAGACUUCUCCUUCGUGGAAUAUUAAUAGUCCGUCUCCUCACUGUGCCUCGCAGAGAAUGUAAGACCAGUUCCAGACAGGACUGGUAAAGAAACUGCUGCGGGAAACCAGCGAAACUGAAGCUUUGUAUAAAGUUUUGUAUAAAUUUAAGUUAACAUUUAAGUGGAUAUUUAUAGGCAAACGCCUAUAAAUGUCCACUUAUCUCUUUAUUUACGUUGCACCGUCAAGUAAAAAAAAAUUUUAAAGAAAAAUCACUUGAUAACUCUACGAUACUAUUAAUAAGAAGCUCCAAAAAACAAGCCUGCAUGAGUAACAUACAAUGAAAUAGAUACACGUGAAUAAUUACAUUAAAAAAAAUCCUUUUAACAGAGUAAACAGCAACAAUGGUGAUGGAUUUAACAAUUUUGAUGUUAAGAAAAAAUUGAAUUAUGUUGUUAAUAUUAUACAUUAUUUUAUAAAUGUUGUUACAAAAUGUUAUGGUAAUUUUAGCA